UGGGAUUUAGCUCAGCAGUAUAAGCGCCUGCCUGGCAAGCAGGAGGUUGUGAAUUCAAUCCCCG
rfam:Cavia porcellus supercont2_44 genomic scaffold, whole genome shotgun sequence.